rnacentral:rRNA from 1 species
UUUAAUUGAAGAGUUUGAUCAUGGCUCAGAUUGAACGCUGGCGGCAGGCCUAACACAUGCAAGUCGAGCGGCAGCACAGAGGAACUUGUUCCUUGGGUGGCGAGCGGCGGACGGGUGAGUAAUGCCUGGGAAAUUGCCCGGUAGAGGGG